AGUGAACGCUGGCGGCAUGCCUAACACAUGCCAGUCGAACGGCAGCACGGUAGGUGGCUGCUGGUGGGGGUUGGGGGACGGGGGAGGGAGAGAUAUGCACAGGACCUGACGUUUUGGUGGGGGCGAAGGAAGGGGGAUUAAUGCCGCUAACGCACUAGAGCUACAGGUGGAGGCACGGGGUGUUUGGAGCUUGCGGGUUGGACGGUGGCGGAUUAGCUAGUUGGAGGGGGAAAGGCAUAACAAGGCCACGGUCAGUAGCUGGUCUGAGAGGAUGAUCAGCCACACUGGAACUGAGACACGGUCCAGACUCCUACGGGAGGCAGCAGUGGGGAAUAUUGGACAAUGGGCGAAAGCCUGAUCCAGCCAUACCGCGUGUGUGAAGAAGGCCUUCGGGUUGUAAAGCCCUUUUGUUGGGAAAGAAAAGCAGCGGCUUAAUACCCCGCUGUUCUGACGGUACCCAAAGAAUAAGCACCGGCUAACUUCGUG
rnacentral:rRNA from 1 species